AGCAGCCGCGGUAAUUCCAGCUCCAAUAGCGUAUAUUAAAGUUGUUGCAGUUAAAAAGCUCGUAGUUGAAUUUCGGGGUCAGUAGGUUGGUCAUGCCUCCGGUAUGUACUGGUCUCACUGAUUCCUCCUUCCUGAUGAGCCGUAAUGCCAUUAAUUUGGUGUUGCGGGGAAUCUGGACUGUUACUUUGAAAAAAUUAGAGUGUUUAAAGCAAGCUAACGCUUGAAUACAUUAGCAUGGAAUAAUGGAAUAGGACGUUCGAUCCUAUUUUGUUGGUUUCUAGGAUUGACGUAAUGAUUAAUAGGGAUAGUUGGGGGCAUUAGUAUUCAAUUGUCAGAGGUGAAAUUCUUGGAUUUAUUGAAGACUAACUACUGCGAAAGCAUUUGCCAAGGAUGUUUUCAUUAAUCAAGAACGAAAGUUAGGGGAUCGAAGACGAUCAGAUACCGUCGUAGUCUUAACCAUAAACUAUGCCGACUAGGGAUCGGAUGAUGUUAAUUUUUUAAUGACUCAUUCGGCGUCCG
rnacentral:rRNA from 1 species